rnacentral:rRNA from 1 species
CCUACGGGAGGCAGCAGUGAGGAAUAUUGGGCAAUGGGCGCGAGCCUGACCCAGCAACGCCGCGUGAAGGAAGAAGGCUCUAGGGUUGUAAACCUCUUUUGUCAGGGACGAAGCAAGUGACGGUACCUGACGAGUAAGCCACGGCUAAGUACGUGCCAGCAGCCACGGUAAUCCGAAGGUGGCAAGAGUUAUGCGGAUGUACUGGUUGUAAAGGGCGGGUAGGCGGGACUGCGAGUAAGAUGUGAAAACCACGGGCUGAACCCGUGGCCUGCCUUUGAAACUGUAGUUCUUGAGUAAUGGAGAGGCAUGCGGAAUUCGUAGUGUAGCGGUGAAAUGCGUAGAUAUUACGCGGAACACCGGUGGCGAAGGCGGUCUGCCGG